rnacentral:misc_RNA from 1 species
AACCAUUCUCACCUGCGGCUAGACCUGCGGAAGGAUCAUUACCGAGUGUAGGCCCCCCGUAAAAAAGGGGACCAACCUCCCGUCCUUUUGCACAGGGCACCCCCCUCUUUUUAGGGGGGUUGCUUUUCGGACCUUCUGCUUCGGCGGGGUAAGACCCGCCGGAACACCUUCAAAAAUAUUCUUGUAACCGCUCCGUCCGAGGGUUUGAAAAAUAGAGCGAAAAACUUUCAACAAUGGAUC